rnacentral:lncRNA from 7 species
ACCUGUGCUCAAGCUUGCUGUGUUGGGUGAUUUGCAGAUUAGUGGAGGACCAUUUCUUCUACUGUUGCCUUUGCUUGCCUGCGUGUCCUUUCCUUUGGUGGCCUGCAGCAGAACCAAGACCAGAGAGGUGGUUUCUUUGGCAUCUCUGCAAGACACGACUGUGGUGACUUUUAGCAUGUGUUCUCAUCCUGAACGCAUCACUUAUGGAAGUGAAUGUAGUCUAUGCUCUUAUCAGUCUGGAUGAAGUUUCUCUAUCUGUGGAGAGAGCCCACAAACUGCUCCAGAGCCCCUGAAGUCUCAGGGGCUCCUUCCUGAUCACAGCUGUACUCCAAGGGACUGUUUGGUGGAGGAGGUGGUGUCCUUAAAUCGUGGGCUUCUUGGAGCUUUGAAGAUAUGUGCACGAUACCUCAUGAAGGAAAGGUGUGCGGAGCGGUUGCCUUGAUUUCGGUCUACGGCUUUCGGUGCCUGACCUAGAUAUCUGGCUAGCAGCUCACCGCUGCAGAAAAUGCCCUCCUGCAAAACUUCUAUCCCACUGGCUGCUAAUAAGAGCAAUUCUCACGUAGCACUGCAUCCAUCCCAACAAUGUAAUUGGUCUGGCUCUCCCAGCCGGGAUCCGUUCCUCCUGCAGGCCCACGCUGCGCAGAGAAAUCCCAGACCUCCCGAGGGCUGAGGGGCUCCGAAACCGUGCUAUGUUAUCAACAGCUACAUGGUUAGCUAACUGCUGUGACUAAAUGGAGAUUGGGAAGCACUGCAGGCGAGGGAUGAAAAGUGAUGCCCUCCCAUAGCACAAGGCUGAUAAUGCAGAAUUGGCCAAAACAACGAAACUUCACAGACAGCGCAGCAGAAGGCUUUGGCUCUCUUGUUUGGGCAUUUUAUUACCUGGAGCAAAAUGUGCAGAGAAGGGAGAUAAUGAAGUACUUGACUAAUUCAGUGUGAUCCAGCUGGCUAAGCCAGAGGGCCUGCAGAGCAGGAAAAGCUACAGAACUCACUGCUAGCCAUUUUCCCUUGGUACCUGUGAAGCCAAAACAAAGAAGUGCAGAGAUCAAAAAACUGAGCAAUAUCAAUAUUGGGAAAGGGGAAGAGGGACAACAAAAAGGGAGGAGAAACCACUAAACAUCCCCUUCCUCUCCCUUCUGCUCUUCAUCUAAUAGGGGAAAAAAAUGUUACUUUCAUUGCCUUGUGAUAACUUCCGAUUCCCUUGAGAAAUUCACUGAAUUCCCAAAUGUUUAGCACCCUGUAUGCUGCAAUGCUCAAGGCCGACUUGACUUUUUUUUCCCCGCUAUUAUCUACCUUUUGUGUUCAGGAAAAAGACAGGUUUUGUCAUACAGACAGAUGCAUUGUAGUGCCUUCGCAAACCCGUGUUCACCCCACAGCCUAAAAGGCUAGAUUCUUACCCACAGGGAGACUAGAAAGAUGUAAAGAGUGUAUAUUCCCCUCCCCAACUCCUAGCCACUGGUGCAUUUUCACCACCGCGUGUUUUUUCUCUGACAGCCUGUCUUUUUAAGCACACGAGACGCAUUGCUCCCUCUCCGCCCUUCCCUUCCCACUCCCUUGCAUCCUCCCACGGAGCGCUGUGCAGUUCCAGCUGCCCUAGCAAGCUGUUCCCCAAUCCGGAGCGUGACGCUAGCAAAAAGCUGGCAGAGAGUCGAAGGUGGCUACUGUGCUUAUUUGAAUAUCCAAGGCCCAACUUUGUACCUGACGUGGCAGCAGUGCUGGGAGAGGAAACAGAGAAACACCCACCUCUGUGCAGGCUGAAUUUAGCUCAUGCUGCUCAUCGUGGCUGCCAGGGAAUGAAUCACUGCUGACCAGCCUGCCUGCCAGCCCCUGCUCGCACCAUUUUUUUAACAGGCAGCGGCAGACACUGCGCAUCACUGAGAGAUGAGCAUCGCAAACGCGCUUUGCAGGGAAGGCGACCACAGCAGACUGCCAAUGCUCUUCCAGCGCCAAUUAUAGUGAUGGUUUAAUCGUAAAAGCUGCUUCAUUAAAAUGGGAUCAGAGCCAAAGCUUUUGUGAUUUGGAGGCUUGUACUAACUUUUGGUAGUUAUCAUCAGGGGCAGCUGAUGUGACAUCACCAUACAACUCUAUGUGACUCGUAUUUUUAAUGGCCCACAUGCCUCUAGAUGAUGAUUUUGCUGCUAGAGUUUGCUUGGCGUUAGCU